AUCCUGUGCCUAACCAGGUGGAUGGGGCAUUCCACUUGGCCUGAAGAAAAGCAUGGAGGUGUGAGAGCACUGAAUAGCAGACGUCCUGCUGUUUAGCCUGGGGGAGGCUUUUGCUACAGAAAAUGCUUGUCUUCACCUACCUCCCCAAAUGGUUAGAUUCUCUCACUGCUGAGCCUAGUCUCUAAAAGGAAGGUUUGAGGCUCAGCCCCUAUAUGGAGUUUAAGCUGACACCUGAGCUACUUCCCCAUAGAAGGCCUGCUUUUGUUAAGGUUUGGGUUCACCCCAAAUGUGGUUUUUUUUGUCUUUAAAAGCUUUGUGCUAGCUUUGUUCUUUGAGACAGGAGUUUCCAAUUCAACCUCACAAAAAGUAGCUUCUCAGGGCUGGGAAUAUGGCCUAGUGGCAAGAGUGC